AAUAUUUUUGGAUAAUGUAAAAAUCAAAACAGCCCUAAAUGAGGAACAAUGAUCAGCCAUUAUUACUAGAGAAAAAUGUAGAACAGUCUCCUUUCUGGGAAUCAUAAUCACACUUUCUGUUUGGUAUUUUCCAGGAAUAUCUAUAAAUGUACUUGAAGGGCAGAGUGUGUUCUCAAAAGUGUUUCUCACAGCAAAAACUGGCAUUGACCCGAAACAGAAGCAGUUCCUAAUGCUUAGCUCUCAGCAACAGCACAUGAUGUUUCCUUUAAAGUCAAAAGAGCAAAUAACUAUGUAAUUAUAAAAUGCAAGCGAACAGGAUAUGGAGAGCAGCCAGAAGAAUCACAAGUACCGGCUGGAAUGGGAAUGAAACCUCUACAGCCAAAAACAUGUGACCGAACAUGAGAUUUCUGAACCUGAGCAAAGUUCUCACAUGCCUUCAAAAUACACAACAGCAAGAGCUCGCAUCAGCAAAUGGUAUAGAAGAGUCCUGGAUCCUCGGUUGUGUGACGUGGAAAAUCAGUCAAAAUAGUCACUGAGCUUCAGAACAGAGAACCCAGCUGAUGCCUGGAGUAACCAUUUUUGAUUCAUAAUGCCAUGUUUUUCCAAGUAUCAUGUUGAUUGUUACCCUUGAACCUCAGCACCUACAACACAUCUUGCACAUUUUUUUAAACCAAGUACAAUGUUGUUGGGCAGUACAAACAGCUGUUUCCUGAGCAGACUGAACCUUCUGCAACCAACUCGGGACAAAAGAUAUUCACACAGUUUGCAGCCUGCCAGGCACCAGAUUGAUGGCAUCUGCCCUGCCCCCCCUUCAUGAUGGACACACCUAUGCCAAAUUCUGUUCAAUUCCAAACAAAAAAAGAGCAAAUAGUUUUUAUACCAGGUCUAAAGGUUAAUUUAGCAGUAGAAUUGAAAACUUUUUUUAAAGCAACAGUUUUUGAAAUCUGAAGGUCUAUCUAGAUGCUAGGUUCAACCAGAACCAGAAAGUGGACUGGUUUUCAAACUACUUUUUAUUAUAGUCAUUUGUUCAUCUUUUUACUUUGCUGUCUCCAUUUCCAGUCUGUUACAUAAACCAUUCAGUAAACUUUAACAACAAGAUCACUGUUUGAGAGAAAACUAGUCAAGAAAAAAAAAAUUAACAACCAUUUCCCUACUUAUUUGGUUUAUAAACUAUCUUUGCCAUAUAACAGCCAACAUGAGCUCUAGAUAAUCUUCAUUUAAGCUCUAAUAAUAAUUAUACUGUUAUGAUCUUACUGUUAAAAUGAUUUUACUGUUAAAUAAUCCUUUUUACUUGGGUUCUUAUUUGUUAACCCAAGGCUUUUCUGAUUAAAUGAAGUCUAACCACUUCCAUCUGCUUCUUCUCUUGGGCAUUUUAUCGGCUGAAUUUGUAUCCUUCAUCGAAACCAUUAUACAGUACAGUCAGCAUUUAAAAAAGUAAGAAAAUAAGCAAAAUUAUUU